GAUGAACGCUAGCGACAGGCUUAACACAUGCAAGUCGAGGGGCAGCACGGUGUAGCAAUACACUGGUGGCGACCGGCGCACGGGUGAGUAACACGUGUGCAACCAACCCCGUACCGGGAGAUAACCCGCGGAAACGUGGACUAACAUCCCAUAACACUCUAGAGCCGCAUGGUUCUGGAUUUAAAACCCCGGUGGUACGGGACGGGCACGCGCGACAUUAGGUAGUUGGCGGGGUAACGGCCCACCAAGCCGACGAUGUCUAGGGGUUCUGAGAGGAAGGUCCCCCACACUGGAACUGAGACACGGUCCAGACUCCUACGGGAGGCAGCAGUGAGGAAUAUUGGUCAAUGGGCGCGAGCCUGAACCAGCCAAGUCGCGUGAGUGAAGAAGUAUUUCGGUAUGUAAAGCUCUAUCAGCAGGGAAGAAAGACAUGACGGUACCUGACUAAGAAGCCCCGGCUAACUACGUG
rnacentral:rRNA from 1 species